GAUGAACGCUGGCGGUCUGCUUAACACAUGCAAGUCGAACGGGCUCUUUCGGCAGCUGGUGGCGGACGGGUGGGUAAAGCGUGAGAUACUGCCCGUGGGAGGGGCCCAACGGUUGGGAACGACCGCUAAUACCCCAGGUGACGAGCGGAUAAAAGUGAUUCGCCAAGGGAUCAGCUUGCAUCGGAUUAGCUAGUUGGGGUGGUAAGGGCCCACCAAGGCGACGGUCCGUAGGUGGUCUGAGAGGAUGACCAGCCACGCUGGUACGGGGACACGGCCCAGACUACGACGGGCAGCAGCGGUGGGGAAUGUUCCGCGAUGGGAGCAAGCCUGACGGAGCAAGGCCGCGUGAGUGAAGACGGUCUGUGGAUUGUAAGCCUCUGUUGACAGGGAAGAAGUACUGACGGUACCUGUCGAAUCAGCCUCGGCUAACUCCGUG
rnacentral:rRNA from 1 species